GCCUUCGUGGUGUAGUGGUCAGCACGCUCGACACGAAUUCCAGAGGUCUGUGGUUCGAGUCCUGGCGAGGGCA
rfam:Stegodyphus mimosarum contig81774, whole genome shotgun sequence.